CGGUGCCAUGAUCGCGUCGGUGCCCUUCGCAAGAGGGCGUAAAUGGGAAUGCGGUGCGGGGCCUCGGCUCCAAUGCCGCGGCUGUCCCUGCAACUGUAAGCGGCGAGCGACGGACACAUGCCUUCCCCCGCGGGAAGGCGGCCACUGGCAAGGGUUCGCCCGACCCGGGAAGGCCGUGCCCCGAGCGACGACCCGCGAGCCAGGAAACCUGCCGGCGAUAGGGUCGCUCU
rnacentral:ncRNA from 1 species